rnacentral:rRNA from 1 species
GACGAACGCUGGCGGCGUGCCUAAUACAUGCAAGUAGAACGCUGAAGGAGGAGCUUGCUCUUCUGGAUGAGUUGCGAACGGGUGAGUAACGGGUAGGUAACCUGCCUGGUAGCGGGGGAUAACUAUUGGAAACGAUAGCUAAUACCGCAUAACAGUAGAUGUUGCAUGACAUUUGCUUAAAAGGUGCAAUUGCACCACUACCAGAUGGACCUGCGUUGUAUUAGCUAGUUGGUGGGGUAACGGCUCACCAAGGCGACGAUACAUAGCCGACCUGAGAGGGUGAUCGGCCACACUGGGACUGAGACACGGCCCAGACUCCUACGGGAGGCAGCAGUAGGGAAUCUUCGGCAAUGGACGGAAGUCUGACCGAGCAACGCCGCGUGAGUGAAGAAGGUUUUCGGAUCGUAAAGCUCUGUUGUAAGAGAAGAACGAGUGUGAGAGUGGAAAGUUCACACUGUGACGGUAUCUUACCAGAAAGGGACGGCUAACUACGUG